rnacentral:rRNA from 1 species
UAGGGAAUCUUCCGCAAUGGACGCAAGUCUGACGGAGCAACGCCGCGUGAGUGAAGAAGGAUUUCGGUUCGUAAAACUCUGUUGUUAGAGAAGAACAGCGCAUAGAGUAACUGUUAUGCGUGUGACGGUAUCUAACCAGAAAGCCACGGCUAACUACGUGCCAGCCGCCGCGGUAAUCCGUAGGUGGCAAGCGUUGUCCGGAUUUAUUGGGCGUAAAGCGAGCGCAGGCGGUCAAUUAAGUCUGAUGUGAAAGCCCCCGGCUCAACCGGGGAGGGACAUUGGAAACUGGUUGAAUUGAGUGCAGAAAAGGAGAGGGGAAUUCCAUGCCUAGCGGUGAAAUGCGUAGGUAUCUGGAAGAACACAAGUGGCGAAGGGGACUCUUUUGUCAGUAACUGACGCUGAGGUUCGAAAGCGUGGGUAGCAAACAGG